rnacentral:rRNA from 1 species
CGGGUAAAGCCGAGCACUCUAAGGAGACUGCCGGUGAUAAACCGGAGGAAGUGGGGAUGACGUCAAGUCCUCAUGGCCCUUACGUCUGGGGCUACACACGUGCUACAAUGGCCGGUACAAAGGGUUCCGAUACCGCGAGGUGGAGGCAAUCCCAAAAAACCGGUCUCAGUUCGGAUUGCAGUCUGCAACUCGACUGCAUGAAGUCGGAAUCGCUAGUAAUCGCUGAUCAGCAGGCAGCGGUGAAUACGUUCCCGGGCCUU